rnacentral:rRNA from 1 species
UACGUAGGGGGCAAGCGUUGUCCGGAUUUAUUGGGCGUAAAGAGCGUGUAGGCGGCCAGACAGGUCCGUUGUGAAACUAGAGGCUUAACCUCUAGACGUCGAUGGAAACCGUUUGGCUAGAGUCCGGAAGAGGAGAAUGGAAUUCCUGGUGUAGCGGUGAAAUGCGUAGAUAUCAGGAGGAACACCUGUGGCGAAAGCGGCGCACUGGACCACAACUGACGCUGAGGCGCGAAAGCUAGGGGAGCAAACAGG